rnacentral:rRNA from 1 species
AGUGAACGCUGGCGGUAGGCCUAACACAUGCAAGUCGAACGGAGUGGCGUACGGGUGAGGAAUACAUCGGAAUCUGCCUGGUAGUGGGGGAUAAAGUCCGGAAACGGGCGCUAAUCCCGCAUACUAUCCGAUGAGCCUAGGUCGGAUUAGCUAGUUGGUGGGGUAAAGGCCUACAAAGGCGACGAUCCGUAACUGGUCUGAGAGGCUGAGCAGGCACACGGGAACUGAGACACGGUCCAGACUCCUACGGGAGUCAGCAGUGGGGAAUAUUGGACAAUGGGCGAAAGCCUGCUCCGGCCAUGCCGCGUGGGUGAAGAAGGGUUUCGGAUUUUAAAGUACUUUAAGUUGGGAGGCGUUACCAACAGAAUAAGCACCGGCUAACUUCGUGCCAGCAGCCGCGGUAAUAC